CCCUUGUAAAUCUUUUUGUACAUCAUCUAAAAAAGGGAAUAUAUUGGGAAACACCUGAAAGGAUCCUUAAUUUGUGGAUUGCCCUCCAACAGAAUGAUGUCCGUUCAAUAUUUUAAUAGUUUUAAGCCAGAUCAUCAUGAGACUUUGUGAAUAUUUUUGCGGGCAUUACAUCUCGGCCAAGUUUUAAAACCACCAUCAGAAUUAUUGCCCUUGAGUUAUUAAAAAUUGUCCAAAUUAACCUAGCUUAGGUUUGCAUUAUUGUGGCUUGUUUGAUCAAGGUCAAUGUAACUGUUACUUAAAAUUUAAAAAAAUGUCUCUGCUCAAAAACUUGAGGUGGAUGGAUGUAUUACACUGAGGGGGAUGGAUGUAUUACACUUACAUUGAGGUGGAUGGAUGUAUUACACUUGAGGUGGAUGGAUGUAUUACACUUGAGGUGGAUGGAUGUAUUACACUGAGGUAGAUGGAUGUAUUACACUUACAUUUUAUUUUGUGUGUAGGUAGCUUAACUGCAGUCAUUACUUGAGACUGCACAAUUAUUUUAGUAGAGCAGAUUAAUAUGUUAAAUAUUUAAAACAUGGUUUCAUGGCAUUGCCAUGUUUCUUGUUGUCUCCAUUAUUUUCUGUACCAUCAAUGUAGAACAAAUUUAUUUAUAUAUUUACUCAUGGCGUGGUUUUGUGAC